UUUGUUUAAUGUUAUGAGAGAAAGUUUAGGGGCUGUUACAAGCUGAGCUUGACCAGCUCAUUAGGAGUUUUUAUUUGAAUUUUCAGCUCAGAAUUGGAUGUUAAAACUCCAUAAUUAGUCAUUAAUUGGAGUUAAGACCAUAUCUCACCUUUGUAAUUCAAAAACAAAGCCAAACUCUUUUAAAAGGGAGGGACGGCCAAGCAUGGAGACAUGAAUGAAUAAGAUUAUUUUUUUUCUGAGUUAGUUCAGUUUGUUGAGAGUGAUUCUCAUAUCCCUUGAGUGAUUCAAGACCUUGACUUAUCAAAGGUUUGCCACCACCUUUGUGUGACGUCUGCACUUCCAUAUCCAUAAAGUUCCAUUCCAAUUCUGUCCAUCUUUUCCUUGCACGAAAUUCUUCUUUGUUUUUCCCUUCCAACUCUGAUUUCUCAAGUCCUAAAAUCAUCCUAGACGAUCCAUCAAGCCCUUGCAUCAACUUGGGGCAUAUCAUUUGGUAAUCAGAGCUCCGGUUCUAGGAUUUUGGUUUCUUUUCUUAUCUGGAAUUCUGGUUUGCAACUCUUUAUCAUUUCUUGUUACCUUGAUUUUAGUUUUUGUUUCUUUUGGCUGAACCAUUGCAAAAGUUAAGCCUUGUUAAUUGUUCAGAAUCAAAAACAAAUUACAAAACGAAAAUUCAAAAAAAAAAAAAACGAAAAUUCAAAAAAAAAAAAGGCUGAAUGGUUCUUGUUUAAUUAGCCAAAUUCAAUUGUUCAAGGUAAUUUUGUUGCUAGCAUUCCAAUUUAUUUUCUUCUUUCUGUUUGUUCUUGAAUUCUUCUUUAGUCUCUAAAUAUUUUGAGUCCUUUCCAUUUCUGUGGUGAUUUGUCUUGUCUUCUUUUGUUUCAUAUUCUAAAGUCUAUUCUAAUCUGUGUGACUCUACACAAAUUUGGUGGCAUAAUUCUUUGUGUGUCUUAACUUUGAUUUACUCAAGAGAUUGUGAGAAUUUUUGAGUGGAAAAAGGCAAGAGUGCACAUCAUAGAAAAGCCAAUUUGAGGGAAACACGAGAGAAGUGAGGUAAACACUAACAUUUGUUUGUUCUACUUGAAUCUUUUCAUUUGUCAAAGAUGUCAGGAGAAGAGGAGGAGCAACCAGCAGUGCGACUCUCGACCAUCGAAAUGCGGGCUCUUACACAACAUCUGGAAAACUUAAUGAGGAGGCAAACUGAAGAGAUCCACGAAAGGCUGGAUCAAAUGGAGAACCGGAACAAUAGUGACAGUGAAGGCGGGAGGCCACGACGAAUUCAUGAAAAUCCUAGACCUGCUCGGAUUGAAGGAGUCAAAUUCCAAAUUCCUCCUUUUAAGGGAAAGAGUGAUCCAGAGGCAUACUUGGAGUGGGAACUCAAAAUAGAGCAUGUCUUUGCUUGCAACAACUAUGAGGAGGACCAAAAGGUGAAACUUGCAGCUGCUCACUUUUCAGACUAUGCUCUUGUUUGGUGGAAUAAGUUUGCAAAAGAGAGAUUGAGAAAUGAGGAGCCAGCGGUGGAAACAUGGGCUGAAAUGAAACGAAUCAUGAGGAAAAGAUAUGUCCCUUCAAGCCAUGCUAGGGAUGUAAAAUUUAAACUUCAAAAACUUACCCAAGGCAGCAAGAGUGUUGAGGAGUAUUACAAAGAACUUGAGGUGCUUAUGUUGCAAGCCAAUCUUGAGGAGGAUGAAGAGGUAACCAUGAUUCGAUUUAUUAAUGGUCUGUCUAAUGAUGUUAGAGAUAUUGUAGAACUUCAGGAAUAUGUAGACAUGGAAGAAUUGCUGCACAAGGCCACUAAAGUUGAGCAACAACUCAAAAGGAAAGGGCUUGCAAGGAAGAGUUCUACCAAUUCCAAUUCAUCUUGGAGAGACAGAAUGAAGAAUGAAGGGCCGAGCACCCUUAGCAAACCAGCCACCAAACCACAAGCUUCAGCUUCUUCAAAACCUCUUGAACAACCAUCCAAAAAGAGCAAAGAGGUCAAGUGCUUCAAAUGCCAAGGUAUGGGACAUUAUGCUUAUGAAUGUGCCUCCAAAAAGACCAUGAUUCUUAAGGAUGAUGGAGACUACACCAGUGAGUCCGAAGGAGAACAAAGUGAAGAAGAAGAGGAGGCAGCCAUGAAUGGUGAACUGUUGAUGAUCCGAAGAAUGCUUGGUAGCCAACAAAAGCCAAAGAAAGAAAGCCAAAGAGAGAAUAUCUUUCACACAAGAUGUUCUGUCAAUGGGCAGAUUUGCUUGAUGAUUGUUGAUGGCGGAAGCUGUACUAAUGUGGCUAGUGAAAGAAUGGUGGAGAAGCUGAACCUGGUCACAAAACCACAUCCUUGGCCAUACAAACUUCAAUGGCUCAGCCACCAUGGCAAUAUGACACCAACUCUGAUCAUAAUGGCAGCACCAACAAGAUCUCAUUCCAACAUCAUGGCCAGAAAAUUACGCUCAAACCUUUGAGCCCUAGGGAGGUGCGUGUGGAUCAAAAGAAAAUGAGAGAAAAGAUUGAACAAGAGAGAAAAGAAAAGAGUGAGACACUUGAGAGAGAGCAAAAAGAAAAGAGUGAAAUACUUGAGAGAAAAGAAAUUUGUUUGAUCAAAAAGAGAGAGGUGAAAAGGAUGAUAGCUUCAAAACAGAUCCUAUACUUGAUGUUUUGCAAAAAUCAGAUUUUGAACACUAACACUUUUGAAAAUUUUGAACUGUCUUCUAGUGUUAAAUCUCUUUUGCAGGAUUAUGAGGAUGUGUUUCCAACAAGUGUUCCAAGUGGUCUACCACCACUGAGAGGAAUUGAGCAUCAAAUUGAUCUCAUUCCGGGAGCUUCUUUGCCUAAUAGGCCAGCAUAUAGAAGCAACCCACAAGAAACCACUGAAAUUCAAAGACAAGUGGAAGAACUCUUGAACAAAGGGUGGGUAAGAAAUAGCAUGAGUCCUUGUGCUGUACCGGUGAUUUUGGUACCAAAGAAAGAUGGGACUUGGAGAAUGUGCUCUGAUUGUAGAGCCUUGAAUAACAUCACCAUUAAGUAUAGGCACCCUAUUCCUAGACUUGAUGAUUUGCUUGAUGAAUUGCAUGGAGCAUGUUAUUUUUCUAAAAUUGAUUUGAAAAGUGGUUACAAUCAGAUAAGGAUUAAAGAAGGGGAUGAAUGGAAAACUGCUUUCAAAACUAAAUAUGGUUUGUAUGAAUGGUUGGUUAUGCCUUUUGGUUUAACUAAUGCACCUAGUACUUUUAUGAGACUAAUGAACCAUGUUUUGAGGGAAUUCAUUGGGAAAUUUGUGGUUGUGUACUUUGAUGAUAUUUUGGUCUAUAGCACUACUCUUGAGCUGCAUGUUGAGCACUUAAGAUCCGUCUUGAGUAUGCUUAGAAAGGAACAAUUGUUUGCCAAUCUUGAGAAAUGCACUUUUUGCACUGACCAUGUUGUGUUUCUUGGUUUUGUUGUGAGUUCGAAAGGAGUGCAGGUUGAUGAGGAAAAGAUCAAAGCCAUUCAAGAGUGGCCCACUCCUAAAUCCGUGGGUGAUGUAAGAAGUUUUCAUGGCUUGGCCAGUUUCUACAGGAGGUUUGUAAAGGACUUUAGUACCUUGGCAGCACCCCUAAAUGAAGUGGUGAAAAAGAAUGUGGGUUUUCAUUGGGGAAAGAAUCAAGAAGAGGCCUUUGCUGCCCUAAAGCAUAAGCUUACCCAUGCACCUAUACUUGCUUUACCAAACUUUGCUAAAUCUUUUGAACUUGAAUGUGAUGCUUCAAAUGUAGGUAUUGGUGCUGUGUUGCUUCAAGAAGGCCACCCAAUUGCUUAUUUUAGUGAAAAGUUAAGCGGAGCUGCCCUUAACUAUUCUACUUAUGAUAAGGAAUUGUAUGCUUUGGUGAGAGCUUUGAAGACUUGGCAGCAUUAUCUUUUGCCCAAGGAAUUCGUGAUUCAUAGUGAUCAUGAGUCGCUGAAAUACUUGAAGGGGCAAGGUAAGUUGAACAAAAGACAUGCCAAAUGGGUUGAAUUUUUGGAACAAUUUCCCUAUGUCAUAAAACACAAAAAAGGGAAAAGUAACAUUGUGGCUGAUGCUUUAUCCAGGAGACACGUGUUGCUUUCCAUGUUAGAGACUAAAUUGCUAGGACUUGAACAUGUGAAAGAAAUGUAUGAAAAAGAUGAUAACUUUGCUGAAAUUUUUGUGGCUUGUGAGAAAGUUUCUCAAAAUGGAUUUUAUAGGCACAAUGGAUUUUUAUUUAAGGAAAACAGGUUGUGUGUGCCUAAAAGUUCCAUUAGAGAACUGCUUGUUAAAGAAUCCCAUGCUGGGGGAUUAAUGGGUCAUUUUGGAGUCCAAAAGACUCUAGAAACUUUACAGGAACAUUUCUAUUGGCCCAAAAUGAAACAUGAUGUGAUCAAGUUUUGUGAACAUUGCAUUGUUUGCAAGAAGGCUAAGUCUAAGGUGAUGCCACAUGGUUUGUAUACUUCUUUGCCAAUCCCUGAAUACCCUUGGGUUGACUUGUCUAUGGACUUUGUUUUAGGCCUCCCUAGAACAAAGAAUGGUAAGGAUUCCAUUUUUGUGGUUGUUGAUAGGUUUUCAAAAAUGGCUCACUUUAUUCCUUGCAGGAAAGCUGAUGAUGCUUGUCACGUUGCUGAUUUGUUCUUUAAAGAAGUUGUAAGACUUCAUGGGAUGCCUAGAAGCAUAGUUAGUGAUAGGGACACCAAGUUCCUAAGUCACUUCUGGAGGACUUUAUGGGGGAAGUUAGGCACUAAACUUUUGUUCUCUACCACUUGCCACCCACAAACUGAUGGGCAAACUGAGGUGGUUAAUAGGACCCUAGGCACCUUGCUUAGGACUGUCCUUAAGGCCAAUUUAAAGGCUUGGGAGGCGUGUUUGCCUCAUGUUGAAUUUGCUUACAAUAGGGCUGUCCAUAGCACUACAAUUUGCUCUCCAUUUGAAGUAGUGUAUGGAUUUAACCCUUUGACUCCUCUUGAUUUGUUGCCUAUGCCUAACAUUUCUGUUUUCAAUCACAAGGAAGGACAGGGCAAAGCUGAAUAUGUCAAGAAGAUGCAUGAGCGUGUGAAGGCUCAAAUUGAGAGAAAGAAUGAGAGUUAUGCUAGGCAAGCUAACAAGGGAAGAAAGGAGGUGGUGUUCCAACCCGGAGAUUGGGUUUGGGUGCACAUGAGGAAGGAAAGGUUUCCAGAACAAAGGAAAUCCAAACUCCAACCUAGAGGGGAUGGACCUUUUCAAGUGCUUGAGAGAAUCAAUAACAAUGCCUACAAAAUAGAGCUUCCAGGUGAGUAUAACAUCAGCUCAACCUUUAAUGUCUCUGAUUUAUCUCUCUUCGAUGCAGAUGGAGGAGAAUUUGAUUUGAGGUCAAAUCCUUUUCAAGAGGGAGGGAAUGAUGAGGACAAGGACAAGGACAAGGGUCAUGGAGCACUAAAAGGACUUGGAGGACCAAUGACUAGGGCAAGGGCUAAAAGGGCCAAGGAAGCACUUCAACAGAUGAUAGCAUUAGCUCUUGAGGAAGGAACCAAUGUGCACGAACUUGAGCCCAAAUUGGUGAAUUUCCUCAUGAAAUAUGAAGAGGAAGUCGUCCAAGAUCAGCCCAAUUAAUUGGAGCUGAGUUCGAAUUUUAUUUCUAGUUUUUUUUUUUCAAUCCAAUAAGUCCCUAAUACACCAAGGAUGCAUUAGCAAUUAAUGGACCUGAAGUGGAGGCAUGUGGGGCGUGAAUAAGAAGGCUUUAAGGGAGGAAUAUUCCAAGUUUGCAUCAGCUCUUGAUGGCUGAAGUAAAACUCCAAGAAUCUCCUUCAAUUGAAGUUAAUUUCCUAUUUUUGUUUAAUGUUAUGAGAAAAAGUUUAGGGGCUGUUACAAGCUGAGCUUGACCAGCUCAUUAGGAGUUUUUAUUUGAAUUUUCAGCUCAGAAUUGGAUGUUAAAACUCCAUAAUUAGUCAUUAAUUGGAGUUAAGACCAUAUCUCACCUUUGUAAUUCAAAAACAAAGCCAAACUCUUUUAAAAGGGAGGGACGGCCAAGCAUGGAGACAUGAAUGAAUAAGAUUAUUUUUUUUCUGAGUUAGUUCAGUUUGUUGAGAGUGAUUCUCAUAUCCCUUGAGUGAUUCAAGACCU
rnacentral:lncRNA from 1 species